rnacentral:rRNA from 1 species
AGAGUCUGACCCUGGCUCAGAACGAACGCUGGCGGCGUGGAUAAGGCUUGCAAGUCGAGCGAUCUCGCAAGAGAUAGCGACAGAAGGGUUAGUAACAAGUGGGUAAUCUGCCUUUAGGCGUGGGAUAACCUUCCGAAAGGAGGGCUAAUACCGCAUAAAAUUUCAGGUCCGCAUGGAUUUGAAAUCAAAGGUGGCUCGCAAGGGCUGCCACCAAAAGAUGAGCCCGCUUCCUAUCAGCUAGUUGGUGAGGUAACGGCUCACCAAGGCUUUUGACGGGUAGCUGGUCUAAGAGGACGGUCAGCAACACUGGGACUGAGACACUGCCCAGACUCCUACGGGAGGCUGCAGUCGAGGAUCUUUAUCAAUGCCCGAAAGGGUGAAUAUGCGACGCCGCGUGUGGGAUGAAGGCCUUCGGGUCGUAAACCACUGUCAGGGGUGAGGAAAACCCGUCCGUUAAUACCGGAUGGAUUUGACGUUAACCCCAGAGGAAGCCACGGCUAACUCUGUGCCAGCAGCCGCGGUAAUACAGAGGCGGCAAGCGUUGUUCGGAUUUAUUGGGUGUAAAGGGCAGGUAGGUGGUCAUGUAAGUCCGCUGUGAAAUCCUAGGGCUCAACCCUAGAACUGCAGUAGAAACUGCUUGACUUGAGUAUCGGAGAGAUGAGGGGAAUUCUCGGUGUAAGGGUGAAAUCUGUAGAUAUCGAGAGGAAUACCAGUGGCGAAGGCGCCUCAUUGGCCGAUAACUGACACUGAGCUGCGAAAGCAAGGGGAGCAACCAGGAUUAGAUACCCUGGUAGUCCUUGCCGUAAACGAUGUGGAUUAGGUGUCGGGGGUGUCGAUCCCCUCGGCGCCGCCGUUAACACAUUAAAUCCACCACCUGGGGAGUACGGUCGCAAGACUGAAACUCAAAGGAAUUGACGGGGACCCGCACAAGCGGUGGAGCAUGUGGUUUAAUUCGAGGCUACGCGAAGAACCUUACCUAGGCUUGACAUGUUUGCAGUAGUUCCGGUGAAAGCUGGGACGACCGUAUCCAAUCGGAGGCAUACACAGGUGCUGCAUGGCUGUCGUCAGCUCGUGCUGUGAAGUGUUGGGUUAAGUCCCGCAACGAGCGCAACCAUUGCUCUUAGUUGCCAUCAGGUUAAGCUGGGCACUCUAAGAGGACCGCCAGUGAUAAACUGGAGGAAGGUGGAGAUGACGUCAAGUCAGCAUGGCCCUUAUGCCUAGGGCUACACACGUGCUACAAUGGCCAGUACAGUGAGCCGCGAAUCCGCGAGGAGGAGCAAAUCUCAAAAAGCUGGCCCCAGUUCGGAUUGUAGGCUGCAAUUCGCCUGCAUGAAGCCGGAAUCGCUAGUAAUGGCGCAUCAGACACGGCGCCGUGAAUACGUUCCCGGGUCUUGUACACACCGCCCGUCAAGCCACCUGAAUCGGAGGUACCCGAAA